UCAGGCCUAACACAUGCAAGUCGAGCGGCAGCGGGAAAGUAGCUUGCUACUUUUGCCGGCGAGCGGCGGACGGGUGAGUAAUGCCUGGGAAAUUGCCCAGUCGAGGGGGAUAACAGUUGGAAACGACUGCUAAUACCGCAUACGCCCUACGGGGGAUAGCAGGGGACCUUCGGGCCUUGCGCGAUUGGAUAUGCCCAGGUGGGAUUAGCUAGUUGGUGAGGUAAUGGCUCACCAAGGCGACGAUCCCUAGCUGGUCUGAGAGGAUGAUCAGCCACACUGGAACUGAGACACGGUCCAGACUCCUACGGGAGGCAGCAGUGGGGAAUAUUGCACAAUGGGGGAAACCCUGAUGCAGCCAUGCCGCGUGUGUGAAGAAGGCCUUCGGGUUGUAAAGCACUUCAGCGAGGAGGAAAGGUUGAUGCCUAAUACGUAUC
rnacentral:rRNA from 1 species